UGCCCAGCUAUUUUCUCUUCUAAUUUUUAAAGUAGAGACGGGGCCUCACUCUUGCUCAGGCCGACCUCCACCUCUCAGCCUCGAGCGAGCCUCCCUCCUCGGCCUCCCGGAGUGGCUGGGAUGACAGGCGUGGGCCUCCAAGCUCCUGUCCCCAACAGCUGGGUGACGGUCUGUCUGUCUCCCACCCUUGCGUGCCGGGUCACCUUGAACCAGGAGCAGGUCAUAAGCUGGUCUCGUGCCAUUUUUCCUCUUAAGCGUGCCCAACUUGACUUUUUCUUUUCUUUUUCUUUUCUUUUUUUCCCCCGCCAGUAUCUUCUAGAAAAUGAUGGAAUAAAUACGCAACCCUGGGAACCGCGCUGAGAUGCUCAGCGGGGACAGCCGCGUCGGGGCCGUGUCUGGGCCGAGGUCUGUUCGCCAGCGUCCAAAAGCUUCCCGCCCUUUGAUUCCACACUCGCUGGCCAGGGCGAACCCCAGGAACCGGCAGCCUCAGGAGAGCAAGCUGUCGUGAGCCGCAGUAGCGAGAAGUCUGCCAACAUCUUAGAGUGCAUGCUGACUCUGAAGACCGAGGUCCCCAUCAUGACGGAAGAGCAGAAGCAGGACUUGAACCCCCUGACCAUAAAGAUCAAGUGUGCCUCCUGCCUCCCAUCCCAGCCCGUGCCCAUCCAGGAGCUGAAGCGGCUGUGCGUGCCCGUCUACUGCAAGUACCAGUUCCACGCCACACCCGUGCACCGCACCGAGGGCCAGCCCCACGCGUCCCACGUGCACUUCCAGGACAUCAACGUCAUCUUCCUGGGGGCCGUGUCCCCCCGCGACCUCCGGGAGUACCUGGAGGGACCCCCUCUUCUGGUGGAGGUCCACGACCGGGACCGGCGCUCGGAGGAAUGCUCCCGGAAGCCCGCCCUGUUCGGGGACGACCCCCUGGACCCCUACCUCAACAGCCAGAGGCUGGCCUCCACCCGGGAGACCGAGGCCAACCCCUUCCAGUCCCAGGACGCCAUGUGGGACCCCUACGGGGUAGCCCGGGUCAGCCUGGCGGACCUCCUGCUUGGCCACCGCUACCUGAACCUGGCCGUGCCCAUCCACACCUGCGAGGCGGGCCCCCCUCCCGGCACGGGGGGAGGCGGGGAGGCCGGGCGAGGCCGGAGGCUGCCCCCGGACGGCGCCCACCACGGCCCCAUGCCCCCCGGCCACUACAU
rnacentral:lncRNA from 1 species